UUCCACCUGUUUAAUCAGUUGAUCUUGGCUUUCAAUAGACUCAGGCCCUUUCCGGAUAAGAUUGGACACCCCUGCUCUAGAGUUUACACAUAAUGGUGCGAAAAACUAAAAACACCCUGUGAGCAGAGAGUCUACUGGCUGAAACACCUUGUUGAUAAGAGAGAUUAGAGGAGAAUGACUAGACUGGUCUGAGCUGACCGUCUAUAGUAACUCAAAUAAACACUCUUUGCAACUGUGAGGAACAGAAAAGCAUCUCAGAAUGCAUAACACAUCAAACCUUGAGGUGGAUGGGCUACAACAGCAGAAGACCACAUCAGGUUCCACUCCUGUCAGCCAAGAACAAGAAUCAGAGGCUAUCAUGGGCACAGACAACACAUGGACAACUGAAGACUGGAAAUAGACCAGGUUCCCAUCUAAGGUGUAUUCCCACCACAAGGCCAGUAUUCCAGAUGCAACAUGACCCUGACCAGAAUAAAGUGGUUACUGAAAAUUAAUGAAUGAAUGCAUUUUAUAUCAUGUUGAGAUAUUACAGAAAUUUCAUCCACAUUCAGGAAUACAAGUUUAUCUGCUGUUCUAAGUGUUAAAUUGUCACCCAAGUGUUUAUUUUGCUCUAAAAUUAUUUGACAAGAUUUUUACAACUGGGAUGUAUUAAAAUUCUUAUUGCAAUCAAUAAA